AUGGUAUGACUAGGUGGGGGUACUCUAAUUGAGGGUCCUACCUUAGGCUCUGAAACAUGGUGAUCUGCUGGGCUCGACCUAGGCAUAGGAGAUGAAGGACCCUCCCCCUCAACAUGCUUCUCAUCCUCAUCACUAUCCUCCUCUGUAGCACGACUCUUGGCCCACCGGCCAUCAACUCUCACAAAGCCCAUCCUCCUAAGUGAGUGGUUGUUGUAAGUGUCAGUGUAUGACAGCCUACAAACGCC
rnacentral:lncRNA from 1 species